rnacentral:rRNA from 1 species
GUAGGUGGCAAGCGUUGUCCGGGAAUUAUUGGGGCGUAAAGCGCGCGCAGGCGGUUCUUUAAGUCUGAUGUGAAAGCCCACGGGCUCAACCGUGGAGGGUCAUUGGGAACUGGAGAACUUGAGUACAGAAGAGGAAAGCGGAAUUCCACGUGUAGCGGUGAAAUGCGUAGAGAUGUGGAGGAACACCAGUGGCGAAGGCGGCUUUCUGGUCUGUAACUGACGCUGAGGCGCGAAAGCGUGGGGAGCAAACAGGAUUAGAUACCCUGGUAGUCCACGCCGUAAACGAUGAGUGCUAAGUGUUAGGGGGUUUCCGCCCCUUAGUGCUGCAGCUAACGCAUUAAGCACUCCGCCUGGGGAGUACGGCCGCAAAGGCUG